rnacentral:lncRNA from 1 species
UCAACCAAAGCCUCCCCGACUUUUUUCUCUUUCAAGUACUUCAGGGCUUCGAGAACCCCUAGGGUUUCAAGCUGCAGCACCGAUUCCGCCCGGACAAGUUUUGUGAAUCCGUCAAUGAGGCUACCGGAGGAGUCCCGGACGACGCAAGCCACGGCUCCUUCCAUCGAUCCCUCGCACAACGACCCAUCUACAUUAAUCUUGAAGGAACCAGCUUUCGG